rnacentral:lncRNA from 1 species
CUUGUCAAUGAUUUGGCCCAAGUUACAUCUUCAAGACUUUGCAUCAAUUUGGAAGAUAACAAAGGAUCUGAUAUGGUGGGAAGAUGUCGACACCUAUCAUAUUCAGGGGGAUAUAAUGGUGACUUUGAAAAGUUGAAACCUCUCUACAAAUUGGAGCAGCUGAGGACAUUGCUUCCAAUCAACGACAACUAUCAUCUGUUGGGAAUAAACCCCUUACCANNNNNNNNNNNNNNNNNAACUCUUAUUAGGCACAUGCCUAAUACUUCUUCAAUGAGAUGGACAUCAUCAAUUUGGAAGAUAACAAAUGAUCUGAUAUGGUGGGAAGAUGUCGACACCUAUCAUAUUCAGGGGGAUAUAAUGGUGACUUUGAAAAGUUGAAACCUCUCUACAAAUUGGAGCAGCUGAGGACAUUGCUUCCAAUCAACGACAACUAUCAUCAAUCUCUAAGCAAGAGGGUGUUGCAUAAUAUAUUGCCA